CCGAACAGAUGCCCAGGCUGAUAAAAUAAAGUGCCCAAGGUCACAUAGUGCGCAGAUGGCAAAGCUCGGACUCCACCUGCGCCACUUGCUCUGCAGGGCGCCUGCUCGCCAGGGCCUGGGAGGGUCGCAGCCCAGCUCUCACCAGCCCCAGGAAGGCCGCAUACAGGAUCACGGUGGUGAACCAGCGCAGCACGCUCGCGGCGCUGCCGCUUGGCCGGGAGACCGUCACCGUCUCCGGCUUAUUCCCGGCCGGGGCCUCCGCCUGGAGGAGCCGCUGCCCAGCAGCCGCGGCCUGGGUCCCACGAAACUCCAGUUCCAGCUCCAGCUUGGUGACUCCGAAAUGGUCUUGCUGCGGUUCUCCGUUCAACCGAGCUUCAGAGGUUCUGAGGUGAGCCACGGUCCUGUCCCUUGCGUCCCGACUGUUGGCAAAGUCGCCGCCUCCCCGAGAACCGCCCCCAAGAAAGUCGGACUUUGGGAUGCGCAGGUGUGACACGCAGCGGGCACUCGCGCUCCGGAUCGCACUUCAGAUGAGACCACUAAGGCCAGGGACACCGCGCACCUUGGCAGAGCCAACCGAAGCUGCAGCCUCGGAACACCAAUUUAAGGGCAAGUCAAGGCUUCCACUGCUCCCUUUGCAGGACCCUGGUUUCCAAAAAUGGAAGAUGCUGAGUCAAUAUCUGUUAAAUGACUGAACUGUAUGAACUUGGACGAAACUUCCUGAUCCUCAGAGAUUAGGGUUUUAAUAGUAUCUCUUGAAAACUAUAAAUCUACUUACAGUUCACUCAAGUGUAAAUGAUAUCACAUUAGGACAGUGCUUCUUUUUCUUGAUAAAAAUCAUAUUCCACUAACUUUAUAUGAUAGACUCUUCCACAAAAGUCUGCAAUUUGCUUUAAUUUCAUUUGUUCAUUCCAAUUGAAAAGAGGUUUCUAGGGCCUACCAGUUCCACUUAGGGACCAAUUAGCAAUAGUCACUGAGCGUAGUCCUACUCAGAUAAAGUCAGUGGAACUUCCCUUCAGGUCUAAUGGUCCCUGUACUCUGAAUGGAAUAUAGAGAUGGACAGUCUCUCAAAGAAGCAGUGGCAUCAAGCCAAGAUCAACUCAUCCUUAGGCUGACUGGGAAAUUCUAUGGCUAGGCCUAUAAAGACAAUGACAUCUACUUAGGUCAGACAAAUUCCUUCUGAUUCUGGACCAGAAAUAUACAGAGGAUAAUCCAGAAGGUGAAGGAGGAAGGAAUAGUCCCUGGUUGGGGUAGAGCUGCUGUCAGAGAGUCAGAGAGCAGCCUAACCCAUGGUUCCCUAACCACAGACCCAGUCAGUCAGAGGGAUCUCCAUGUUUGUAAACAAAGGAGCACAGGAUGAUUCAAUUAAUAGAAAAUUGUAAUCUAAGCCCCAAAUCACAUGAUAAUGAUACUUGGUCCUUUAAAGACAAGAAAGGAAGAUCAUUAAUACUUAGUUUGCCACGCCUAGCACAUGGUAAGAUCUCAAACACUUGCUCACAUAUGGAGCAAAACUGGAAGGAGAGAUGACAAAAGUAUGAGGUAGAUGCCUGACAUAACCUUUCUUUAAAUUCAAUUCCUCACUUCAUGAGUAAACUGAUUAUAAUAGUCCAAAAAUCUUAUGGCUUGAAGCAAUAGUUUAACGAGCACGUGUUUCUCUGUGAUCUUCUUAUAAUUGGUGUCUUGGAUUAGAGUUAAUCCAAAACAAUGAAGUAAAACAAUAAAAACACACCAAAAUAUUCAAAAUAGAAUUACCACAUUAUCUACUUAUGGGUAUAUACCCUAAAAGGAUUGAAAAUAGGGUCUAGAAAUUUAUGUAUUCACAUUUAUAGUAACAUUACCACAACAGUCAAAAAUGGAAGCACCCAAAUGUCCAUGCACAGAUGAAUGGAUAAAUACAAUGUGGAACAUACAAUGAAAUAUUAUUCAGGCUGAAGUGGGAAAGAAAUUCUGACAUGUUCUACAACACUGAUGAAUCUUGAACACAUUGUGCUAAGUGAAAGAAGCUAGUAACGAAAGGACAAAUGCUGUAUGAUUUUGCUUGUAUGAAGUAAUUUCAGUAGGCAA